UGCACGGUGGCCAAGUGGUAAGGUGUUGGUCUUGUAAACCAAUAAUCAUAGGUUCAAGCCCCACCUGUGUCU
rnacentral:tRNA from 1 species